GCCGAAGUGGCGGAACUGGCAGACGCGCCGGACUCAAAAUCCGGUGGCCUUCGGGCCGUGUGGGUUCAAGUCCCACCUUCGGCA
rnacentral:tRNA from 1 species